AAUGCGUAGGAAUCUACCUAGUAGUACGGAAUAGCCAUUAGAAAUGGUGGGUAAUACUGUAUAAUCCCCGAGGGGGAAAGAUUUAUCGCUAUUAGAUGAGCCUACGUUAGAUUAGCUAGUUGGUGAGGUAAUGGCUUACCAAGGCUAUGAUCUAUAGCUGGUCUGAGAGGACGAUCAGCCACACUGGAACUGAGAUACGGUCCAGACUCCUACGGGAGGCAGCAGUGGGGAAUAUUGGACAAUGGGCGAAAGCCUGAUCCAGCUAUGCCGCGUGAGUGAAGAAGGCCUUCGGGUUGUAAAACUCUUUCAAUAGGGAAGAUAAUGACGGUACCUAUAGAA
rnacentral:rRNA from 1 species